AUUGAACGCUGGCGGCAUGCCUUACACAUGCAAGUCGAACGGUAACAGGUCUUCGGAUGCUGGCGAGUGCCGAACGGGUGAGUAAUACAUCGGAACGUGCCCGUUCGUGGGGGAUAACGAAGCGAAAGCUUUGCUAAUACCGCAUACGAUCAACGGAUGGAAGCCGGGGACCGCAAGGCCUUGCGCGAACGGAGCGGCCGAUGCCAGAUUAGGUAGAUGGCGGGAUAAAAGCUUAGCAAGCCGACGAUCUGUAGCUGGUCUGAGAGGACGACCAGCCACACUGGGACUGAGACACGGCCCAGACUCCUACGGGAGGCAGCAGUGGGGAAUUUUGGACAAUGGGCGAAAGCCUGAUCCAGCCAUGCCGCGUGCAGGAUGAAGGCCUUCGGGUUGUAAACUGCUUUUGGACGGAACGAAAAGACUCUGGUUAAUACCUGGGGUCCAUGACGGUACCGUAAGAAUAAGCACCGGCUAACUACGUGCCAGCCGCCGCAGUAA
rnacentral:rRNA from 1 species